CUUCUGUGCGGUGUCUAGUACAGUCUGUACUUGUAUAAUUUAUUUUAAAAACACUCAGAAAACAGCCUCUGCUCCUGUUGUUCAGCAAAAUCAUGCCACAGCUGACAAGACUCCAGAAGUUUGCCUCUCCUGCUUCUAGAAAAUCAAAUAGAAGCUUGCAAUUACUUGAACUGCACACCAUCUGCUGCUACACAUAUCUGCACAUCAUCUUCAGCAGGAGUCAGAGGAGCUGGAGGAGUAGAAAAAGAAGAGCAGCACAGAAACCAGUUCUGUGAGAGAGUAUUGAACACUAACUGAGCAAGUCAGAGGAAUCACAGAAUACUCUGAGUUGGAAGGGACACACAAGGAUCAUCAACUCCAGACUUAAGUGAAUGGCCCAUAUGGAGAUCAAACCCACCACCUUGGCAUUACUAGUGCCAUGCUCCAACCAGCUGAGCUCAUCUCAGGGUAAGCAUUGCCAAUGGCACAAAAAGGCAGUGAAAUAUCCCAUCAUCCCUUGAAAUGCAGGUGUAUGCUUGUUUUCCAUUGAU